rnacentral:rRNA from 1 species
UCAUCAGUGAAAUCGAGUAGGACGGGACACGAGACAUCCUGUCUGAACAUGGGGGGACCAUCCUCCAAGGCUAAAUACUACUGACUGACCGAUAGUGAACCAGUACCGUGAGGGAAAGGCGAAAAGAACCCCUGUGAGGGGAGUGAAAUAGAUCCUGAAACCGUAUGCGUACAAGCAGUCGGAGCGGACUUGUUCCGUGACGGCGUACCUUUUGUAUAAUGGGUCAGCGACUUAUGUUCAGUGGCGAGGUUAACCGUUUAGGGGAGCCGUAGGGAAACCGAGUCUUAACUGGGCGUUCAGUCUCUGGAUAUAGACCCGAAACCAGGUGAUCUAGCCAUGGGCAGGUUGAAGGUUGAGUAACAUCAACUGGAGGACCGAACCGACUAAUGUUGAAAAAUUAGCGGAUGACUUGUGGCUAGGGGUGAAAGGCCAAUCAAACCUGGAGAUAGCUGGUUCUCCCCGAAAUCUAUUUAGG